AGUAAACUGGACCGAAAGAGAGGGGCGCCUGGGUGGCUCAUUCGGUUAAGCGUCUGCCUUCAACUCGGGUCACGAUCUCAGGGUCCUGGGAUCGAGCCCCACAUCAGGUUCUCUGCUCAGCGGGGAGCCUGCUUCCCUUUUUCGCCCUGUGCUCUCUCUCCCCAUCUUCUCUUUCAAAUAAAUAAACAAAACCUUUAAAGAAAGGAAGGAAGGGAGAGAGGGAGGAAAACAGCGGGUUCAGAAGAAUGCUGGGACCCUCAGCGGCUACUCUAUUCUGUCUCUACCAGCUCCCAGGCCACCGCAUCCAGCUGCUGACUCAGCACCUCUACCCCGGGGGGCAAGGAUAGGGGGUGGGAGGGGGCCUCAGUCUCCCAAGCAUCUCACACUCAAGGAGUCUAAAGAUAUAUUCUUCUUUCCCUCUGCUUUCCCAUUUUCUGUCUCCUUGGUGGUUCUGCCUCACACUUUGCUGUGUAAGCUAGAAACUUCGAAGUCAGCCUUGUUCCUCCAUUGACAACCCCCACCACCAUCUAUCUGGAUUCGACAUCCAUGCGAUGCUUUCCUGCAAACAGCUUCCAGUCUGGGUCUUCCCGUCCCAUACCUGACGGCUCCCGCACUGGGCAACAGCAGCCCCCUAACUGGCCUCCCUGCCUCCAGGCUCUUCCGCUCCGCUACCUCUUCCACACAUCUAACCGCAGCUUGGAUGUGGGGGGGGGGGGGGGCAAACCUCUCCAUAGGUCAUUUGGCACUCAGGGUCCCUACUAAUCGGGCUCCUCCUCCUCCGCCCCGCCCAUCAGUUAAGUCCUGACCCAUCGAACUGCUCGCACGGGCUCAGGACGCUGCUGGAAUGCCCUUCCCAUGUUCUCAGCUUAGAAGAUUCUUGCUCGCGUCCUUCAGGACCCAUCUCAGCUGUCACCAUCUCUGUGAUGCCAUCCCUGACCCAUCCAGGCACAGCUGGUCACCCGUCCUACAAUGGACAGCCCCUGUGCAUAGCCUGAAUCAUCCUGGGAAGGGACGGUCCCUCCCCUGGGCUCUCCGUGCUCCCCAUGUGAGCUUCCUCGGGCAGGGGCUGGGCCUCACUGGCCUUUCGUCCCGCCCUGCCUCUCGCCAGACUUUCAAUUCCCGUAUCACGGCUUCACCUUAAACAAUAAAAAGUACCACGCGGGCCCCCAAAGGUGCGGCGGAUGAGUCCUGGUCGAGGGUGACACCUACUGGGAAGCUGCGGUUCUGCAGCCCAGCCCUACAAAUCCGUACCACACUUCCAGGCCCAGGUCUGCGAAUCCCAGGGCGGGAUUCCCAGGAAUGAGGGAGAUUUCAAUCAAACAAUCUUCCCUCCAAAAGAGCCUUCGAGAACGUCUGUUACUGUGCAGCAGCUGCAGAGGGCGGCGACGUUCAGAGAAUGCCUUUUUGUCCCUUCUCCCGUCGGAUCCUUUAAACCAUCCGGAAAGGCAGAUGGAACAGGUGUUAUGACAACACCUGUCUUGCAGCUGAAUCCUGGCCUCUGGAACAGUACCUGGCACAGGGCAGACACUCAAGUACGAGUGGCUGACCUUGGGAACGACCGGUGUAAGAAAUCCUUUCACCCGUGUGCCUGGCGCUAAUCGGAGUCCUGGGGCUCUCAGGGGACUGUGGUGCCUAAUGCAGAUGAGCUGAAUGGGAUAGACAGAAGUGAAGGGCUCGUCUAAGAAACAGAACUCACGGGACGCCUGGGUGGCUCAGUUGGUUAAGCAGCUGCCUUCGGCUCAGGUCAUGAUCCCAGCGUCCUGGGAUCGAGUCCAUCGGGCUCCUUGCCGAGCAAGGAGCCUGCUUCUCCCUCUGCCUCUGCCUGCCAUUCUGUCUGCCUGUGCUCGCUCCCCCCCCCCUCUCUGUGAUAAAUAAAUAAAAUCUUAAAAAAAAAAAAAAAGAUCUCACGUCUCUCAUCAGGGCUGGUCACCAAAUAUGGCCGCAGGCUCUUCCCACAACAACACACCACUUCUCGCUAUCCUGUUACACAGUCAGGGAAAAGCUCGAUCUUCCAGUGGUCAUUGGCCCAUCUGUCCAGCCACCCAGCCAACCAUGCCAACCUUCACCAUGUGGCAGGUUCUGCUGGGCUCCAGGACAGCGAGAAUAUGGUGGCGGCAGUGGGGGGUGGUGAAUUCAAAAGCAAGGUAAGAGGAGAUCUUGGGCCUCUUUCUUUCUUUUUCUAAAGAUUGUAUUUAUUUAUUUAUUUAUUUAUUUGAGAGAGAGAGGCAAAACCAUGAAGAGCUAUCGCCUCACACCUGUCAGAAUGGCUAAAAUCAACAGCGCAAGAAACAACAGGUGUUGGCGAGGAUGUGGAGAGAGAGGAAGGAAUCCUCUUGGGCUGUUGGAGGGAAUGCAAACUGGUGUAGACACCGUAGACAGUUUGGAGGUUCCUCAAAAACUUAGAAAUAGAACUACAUGACCAUCCAGCAAUCACACUAGUGGGUAUCCCCCCCCCAAAAUACAAAAACACUAAUUCAAAAUGCAAAAACUAAUUCAAAAUUCACGCAUCCCUAUGUUUAUAGCAGCAUUGUUACAAUCGCCAAAUUAGGUGGCGCCAAAUCAGCUCAAGUGUCCACUGAGAGAGGAACAGAUAAAGGUUGAUAAAUGGACUAGUAUUCAACCACGAAAUGGGAUGAAAUCUUGCCGUCUGCAACGACAUGGAUAGAGCUAGAUAUAAUGCUGAGUGAAAUGAGUCAGUCAGAGAAAGACACGUGCAAAUAUGAUUUCACUCGUGUGGCAUUUAAGAAACAAAACAAAUGAGCAAAGGAAAAGGAGAGAGAGACAGAGACAGAGACCAAGAAACAGACUCGUAA